GGCGUGUUUGUCGAGGCUCUCGAAGACGUGUCGUUCCGUGUUGCGCCGUUCGGCCCGGCCGAAGCGAGUCGCAUGAUUGACGAAAUCCGCAGCCGCAAACUUCUGGACGCAUUCCGGGGCGCGCCU
rnacentral:tRNA from 1 species